rnacentral:rRNA from 1 species
GAAACGACUGCUAAGACUGGAUAGGAAAAGUAAAGGCAUCUUUACUUUUUUAAAAGACCUUCUUUGAAGGUAUACUUGAGGAGGGGCUUGCGACACAUUAGUUAGUUGGCAGGGUAAAGGCCUACCAAGACUAUGAUGUGUAGCUGGACUGAGAGGUUGAACAGCCACAUUGGGACUGAGACACGGCCCAAACUCCUACGGGAGGCAGCAGUAGGGAAUUUUCGGCAAUGGAGGAAACUCUGACCGAGCAACGCCGCGUGAACGAUGAAGUACCUCGGUAUGUAAAGUUCUUUUAUUAAGGAAGAAAAAAGAGUGGAAAAACUCCCUUGACGGUACUUAAUGAAUAAGCCCCGGCUAAUUAUGUGCCAGCAGCCGCGGUAAUACAUAAAGGGCGAGCGUUAUCCGGAAUUAUUGGGCGUAAAGGGUGCGUAGGCGGUUUAAUAAGUUUAUAGUUUAAUUUCAGCGCUUAACGCUGUUGUGCUAUAGAAACUGUUUUACUAGAGUGAGUUAGGGGCAAGCGGAAUUCCAUGUGUAGCGGUAAAAUGCGUAAAUAUAUGGAGGAACACCAGAGGCGUAGGCGGCUUGCUGGGACUUUACUGACGCUGAGGCACGAAAGCGUGGGGAGCAAACAGGAUUAGAUACCCUGGUAGUCCACGCCGUAAACGAUGAGUACUAAGUGUCGGGUAAAACCGGUACUGAAGUUAACACAUUAGGUACUCCGCCUGAGUAGUAUGUACGCAAGUAUGAAACUUAAAGGAAUUGACGGGACUCCGCACAAGCGGUGGAUCAUGUUGUUUAAUCCGAAGAUACACGAAAAACCUUACCAGGUCUUGACAUUUUCUUGCGAAGUUAUAGAAAUAUAAUGGAGGUUAUCAGGAAAACAGGUGGUGCAUGGUUGUCGUCAGCUCGUGUCGUGAGAUGUUAGGUUAAGUCCUAAAACGAGCGCAACCCUUGUCGUUAAUUGCCAGCAUAUAAUGGUGGGGACUUUAACGAGACUGCCAAUGAAAAAUUGGAGGAAGGUGGGGAUUACGUCAAAUCAUCAUGCCCCUUAUGAUCUGGGCUGCAAACGUGAUACAAUGGUUGAUACAAAGAGUAGCUGAAACGCGAGUUCUUAGCCAAUCUCAAAAAAUCAAUCUCAGUUCGGAUUGAAGUCUGCAACUCGACUUCAUGAAGUUGGAAUCGCUAGUAAUCGCGAAUCAGCAUGUCGCGGUGAAUACGUUCUCGGGGUUUGUACACACCGCCCGUCA